rnacentral:rRNA from 1 species
AUUGAACGCUGGCGGCAGGCCUAACACAUGCAAGUCGAGCGGAUGAAGGGAGCUUGCUCCUGGAUUCAGCGGCGGACGGGUGAGUAAUGCCUAGGAAUCUGCCUGGUAGUGGGGGAUAACGUCCGGAAACGGGCGCUAAUACCGCAUACGUCCUGAGGGAGAAAGUGGGGGAUCUUCGGACCUCACGCUAUCAGAUGAGCCUAGGUCGGAUUAGCUAGUUGGUGGGGUAAAGGCCUACCAAGGCGACGAUCCGUAACUGGUCUGAGAGGAUGAUCAGUCACACGGGAACUGAGACACGGUCCAGACUCCUACGGGAGGCAGCAGGGGGGAAUAUUGGACAAUGGGCGAAAGCCUGAUCCAGCCAGGCCGCGUGUGUGAAGAAGGUCUUCGGAUUGUAAAGAACUUUAAGUGGGGAGGAAGGGCAGUAGGUUAAUACCUUGCUGUUUUGACGUUACAACAGAAUAAGCACCGGCUAACUUCGUG